UUAAAAAAAUAAUAAUAAUUCAGGACGUUAUUUUUUCACAGACAUUCAGAGACACACGACUUCUAAUAUGUUUUCCAGCGUUUUAAGUUUCACAAGUUUGAGGGAUUUAUACAAUAAUAAGGAACAGUAGGUUCGUAAAAUGUAUGAAACUUUCGGAUUGGCUCGCGCAAAACAAUCGGAAUUCGAAUUUGGCAAACCAAACGGAUAGGUAAAACAAGCAGUGAGUGUGAAAAACGUUUAAGUGACCAAUGCCAGGCAGAGUGAUGCCACCGUCAGGGAGGGGAAUGGACAACAAAGGCCCAAAACAAAAAUUGUCACAAGAGGUUGAACAAACAUCUGCUUAUUGUGACAAUUCUCCAGCAAAAAAGAAAAAAGCACAGAGUAGUAAAACACCAGCUUCAUACUCUUCAGAUUUGUUUGAGGCUGAACUUGCAG